UUAGAAACUUUAGCGCCAUGUACCGCCAUAGAGAGCGGUUAACGAGGAUUCGGGUUUAUCGAAAAUAUUCGGCGGAUGCCCGGACGUAUGCAUGAAUGCGUUAGGCAGUUGUAAAUACCGGAAUGAUCCGGCAACAAAUCAACUGCUGUCAUGCAG
rnacentral:ncRNA from 2 species